GUGCACCAGGCGCGAAACCUCCGCAAUACGGGAAACCGUGACGGGGUCAUCCUGAGUGCUACCCGCAGAGGGUAGCUUUUCCCUGGUCUAAAAAGCCAGGGGAAUAAGCGGGGGGCAAGACUGGUGUCAGCCGCCGCGGUAAUACCAGCUCUCCGAGUGGUGGGGACGCUUAUUGGGCCUAAAGCAUCCGUAGCCGGCUGGGCAAGUCCUCCGUUAAAUCCAACGAUUCAAUCGUUGGGCUGCGGGGGAUACUGUCCAGCUUGGGGGCGGGAGAGGCCGACGGUAUUCCCCGGGGUAGGGGUGAAAUCCUAUAAUCCCGGGAGGACCACCAGUGGCGAAGGCUGUCGGCUAGAACGCGCCCGACGGUGAGGGAUGAAAGCUGGGGGAGCGAACCGGAUUAGAUACCCCUGUAGU
rnacentral:rRNA from 1 species